UUUCUAUUAAAAAUGAAAUAAACAACACAAACAAACUAUAGGUCAGAGAAAGUUUGAGAACUUUAGAGUCAGAUAUGUCUGAACUUCAAUCCCAGCCAAGCCACUUACUGCUUAGAUUUGAGAACUUCUCAGCUUCUUGUGUGUGCGUGAUGUAUAUGAGUAUGAAAAUAAGAAUGUGUAUUUUAUCACUCAGUUUUCAGUAAGAAUACAGAAACCAUUCCAGAGAUCCAAGUAGAGAAAGAUUUAAUGCAAGGAGUUUGUUACAAAGUUGCAAGAAGGUUCAGAGACACAUAACCAGGGAAAGCAGGUACCCAAAGAUCAGGAAGCUACUACCAAUCUGGAUUUAGAGGAGCAAACAGGAGAAAAGUUAUCACCCAAAGAUCAAAAAGCUGGAGCCAUGAAUCUGUACCAGCUACUGAUGCUAUUGGAGUUUGUAUUGCUGAUGCUAUGCAACCACCUUCACUUUUGCUAGGCAGGAACCAUUGCUGCUGAUGUUGCCAGAAGCACUGCCAGAAACAGAAGGGCUUUUUCCUUUCUCUUCCCUUCAGACCUAAUUGGAACCAAACUGACAAGGGAGUCUGAGAAAUGUGGUUUUCAGAUUUCCAGCCCUGGUGGUAUAGGGAAGAUUACAGAAAAGUGGAUGUGGGAAUGAGCACCAAUAGACAAUAUCUGCUAUGUGUAUUCGCAUGCAUUGUAACUCUUGGUUGCAUGUAAUAAAAUCCAGCUUAGGCCAGGCAUGGUGGCUCACGCCUGUAAUCCCUUCACUUUGGGAGGCUGAGGUGGGAGGAUCGCUUGAGCACACGAGUUCUGGACCAGUCUGGAGAACACAGUGAGACCCUAUCUCUACUAAAAAUACAAAAAGCCAGGUGCGGUGGCGCGUGCCUGUGGUCCAGGUACUCCAGGGGCUGAGCUGGAAGGAUAACCUGAGCCCUGGAGGUUGGGGCUUCAUAAAGCCGUGAUCCUGCCACUGUUCUUCAGUCUGGGUGAUAGAGUGAGACCCUGCCUUGAAAGAGAAAAAGAAAGAAAGAACGAAA